rnacentral:rRNA from 1 species
UUUAUGGAGAGUUUGAUCCUGGCUCAGGAUGAACGCUGGCGGCGUGCCUAAUACAUGCAAGUCGAGCGAACAGAUAAGGAGCUUGCUCCUUUGACGUUAGCGGCGGACGGGUGAGUAACACGUGGGUAACCUACCUAUAAGACUGGAAUAACUCCGGGAAACCGGGGCUAAUGCCGGAUAACAUGUUGAACCGCAUGGUUCUACAGUGAAAGACGGUCUUGCUGUCACUUAUAGAUGGACCCGCGCCGUAUUAGCUAGUUGGUGGGGUAACGGCCUACCAAGGCGACGAUACGUAGCCGACCUGAGAGGGUGAUCGGCCACACUGGAACUGAGACACGGUCCAGACUCCUACGGGAGGCAGCAGUAGGGAAUCUUCCGCAAUGGGCGAAAGCCUGACGGAGCAACGCCGCGUGAGUGAUGAAGGUCUUCGGAUCGUAAAGCUCUGUUGUUAGGGAAGAACAAAUGUGUAAGUAACUGUGCACAUCUUGACGG